CUAUUAGCAGUCCUUCCAAGACUUCCUGGGAUUGUUAGUUUUUUCCACUCUGGCCAACUAGCAUUGAGUCCCUGGUUUACAUAUAUUCUUGUUUAUACCUCAAAUUCAAGUACUGUAGAGAGUGAAUCCUUUGGGACAGGUCCCAAGUUUGGGACAAGAGAUGGGGUAGAGAAACCCUGUGCUUGAGAGCUUAGUCCUACAUGCUGAUGUUGUGGGUUCUCAAGCCAUCUGGGGAAUUUCAGUCCAUUUCUGGCCAGGCCCAGCAUGUUAGAUAUGGAUGAUCAAAGCCUGCUGUUUGGGUGCUGGCUUUCUUUCUCUCUCUAUUUCUGUCCCUCACAUACACAUAUGCACCCAUCCAUCCACCCCUUAGCUCCAUUAGGGUUCGAAAUUCAACUAUCUGAAUGCUCUUCUCCUUAGAGUCUCGAAGUCCAUUGUUGCAACUUCCAAGGACAUUUCUCCAAGUCCCACUACUUCAAGUUGGCAUGGGGUUAGACACCAAAUAUGAAUUAACUGGCCUUUAUUCAGUACCAGCUUGCUGGUCAAUCCAACUGACAGAGAGGACAAGUGGGAAGGUAUGCACAAUCCAGAGAUGACAUGAGACCAUGCAUCUUUAGACAUACAUUAGUCUUUGAACCAUCCAAUCAUAGGCUAAAGCAUGGACACACACACAGAUAGAUGUUACUCCUGUCUCUUGUACAUCCAUGCCUGACCUUUUUUUGACUUAUUCUCUACAAUUCUUGAUCAUCUUUUCAACUUCCAGGUCACUCAGGAAGCUACACCGUUAGUGUAGGCUGAAAUGAUAGGGAGACUUCCUUCCACCGCACAGUACAUGGACGUGUAUUAAACCUGCGUUCAACAUAAACAGGUUCUUUUGCUCAUGCCUUGUACGCACAUUAAUAUCUGUAGAUACGUGUAAGUAUAUUAAUUUUAUGAUGCAUGUUGGUGUUUAUAGUGUGGACCAACAGGAACUAUGUUGUUUCUCUUCACACCUCAGGGUACCCGAGAAAAGGCUGAGUUAAUGCUACCAUACUGUACAGGAGCAACUAGAUUAUUCUGCGGCUUUGUUACAUUUCUUAACUUCCUCGGGUUGUUUUCCCCUUCCCUUUGUCUGUUGCUUGUCACCAAUGAAGCCCACGCAGAUCUGAAAAGCUGCAGAACAGCACCGUCUGCAUAUUCCUUUCACUGUUUCUCAUCUGAAAACACUACCUCCUGGCACCUGGAAAACCAUCACAGAUGCAGAACAGGUGAUCUUUACAGAAUGCUAUUCAAAGGGAACACUUUGCCAGCCCUACAGACAACAAAACACACUGCUGACUCCAGCUGGAGCGAGAGAUUACUUUGAUAACAAAUUAAAAUGGGCUCAGAAAUUGGAAAUGAAGAAGCGAUGCAAGGAGGAAUAAACUACGCUGAUGGCCCCUCUUUUGUCAAGGUGCUGAAGAAUGUCCUUACCUCUAACCUUGACUCCAAGGAGACCGUUGCUGUGCUGAAAGUUAAGCACCUUCUUAAAACGCUUUGCUGAAUCAGGGCCUGAAUUUGGCAAGAGAAAGCAUCAUCUUAAUGUCUCUUUUUGCCUUUGGCGCUAUCUGCACCCUGCCGGAUUUUCCUAAUCUUCUCCUUGCCUCAUAACAGGCACUGUUAGAGAUCAUCAAAGAGAUUAACUCGCAACUGAAGGACACAUGGUAAUGAAAUCAGAUGUAUCUAUCGAUGCUAAAAUGGUUAAACUUGGAAACUUUCCCUGAAUAAUGAGAAUUAAUACAAUCAUUUUAAUGGA